rnacentral:lncRNA from 1 species
UGUUCACAUACAGGAUUAUUAUGCAUUUGGAGUAAACAAUUUAAUUCUAUGUUUAUACACAUAUACUGGAAAAUAUGAAAGAAGGAAAUUCUUGGAGAUCAGAUAUGUAUUAAACAGCUGUGUCAGUAGCAACUCCAACCUGUCAGUUCAGCAGUACUUUAUAACUACUGCAGCUCACUUGGUGUGUGAUAGAGAAGAGAGCAGCAAGAAUGAUACUCAGGCUCUUCCAGGGCUGUGAAAAAUGUGAUAUGAGUGGUCAGUUGUAAGUAUAGUUCCAAAAUAUGGUUGAAUGAGAACAGCUUCAAGGAGGAGAAGAUAAUAAAUAAAAAAAUGAUUGCA